rnacentral:rRNA from 1 species
UACGUAGGGCGCAAGCGUUGUCCGGAAUUAUUGGGCGUAAAGCGGGUGUAGGUGGCUCUAUAAGUCAGGAGUGAAAUCCCCGAGCUUAACUUGGGAAGUGCUUUUGAUACUGCAGAGCUUGAAUGUGGGAGAGGAUCGUGGAAUUCCAGGUGUAGUGGUGAAAUACGUAGAUAUCUGGAGGAACACCGGUGGCGAAGGCGGCGAUCUGGCCCAACAUUGACACUGAGACCCGAAAGCAUGGGGAUCAAACAGG